UACGAAGGGGGCUAGCGUUGUUCGGAAUUACUGGGCGUAAAGGGCGCGUAGGCGGCACUGUUAGUCAGGCGUGAAAGUCCUGGGCUCAACCUGGGGAACUGCGCUUGAUACGGCAGAGCUAGAGGAUGGAAGAGGGUCGCGGAAUUCCCAGUGUAGAGGUGAAAUUCGUAGAUAUUGGGAAGAACACCGGUGGCGAAGGCGGCGACCUGGUCCAUUACUGACGCUGAGGCGCGACAGCGUGGGGGAGCAAACAGG
rnacentral:rRNA from 1 species